rnacentral:lncRNA from 1 species
AGCAGCCCCGGUGUUUCAGCCCGAUGGAAGCAGAGAGGGCUGAAAAGGGAAUAAAAUGAACCAUCCGCCGCCUUGCUGCUGCUGCCAGAAGAGUCUCGUCCCUACCUGAAGGGCUGAUAUCGAAGGUAAGAGGGGGGAAAAGAAGCCGUUUUUAGGCAGAGGGCAGAUUCACCGCGGGGCAGCUCCCAGGCAGACGCAGCCACGCUUCUCUGAGUAUCUGUAAUUAUGGCCCUGGAGAAGGAAAGCUGAGCGGCUUUCCAGCAGGAAUCCAGCGAUUCAGGGCAAGAGCUCAGACUGUUCCAGUCAGCUCCUCUGAGAAGAUUUAAAACAAAACAACAACCCCCAGCCUAACAAACAGCGCCUUUCUAAAUCUGCCCAGGGAAAUAUUUGCUAUUUUAUUUCCACGGCCAACUUUGCUCUGCAGUUUCCUAAUCUUACCCAGUGCUCUCCCGAUUCUCAGCUCCCCCCUCUGCUCCUCACUUUUUUUUUUUUUUUUUUAAUUGGAAGGCAAAACAAUUACGGCCGCGGGAAGGAAAAUCCGAGCUUUGAGCAGCUUUUCCCUGCUCGUUCCCAUCGGGCACACUCUCCCAGGCUGGGUCCCCCGGCUAAUUGCUCAGGAAAUCCGCGCUGCUCAUUGUCGGGCUGUCCUUAAGCUGCUAAUUCCGAGCUGGGAGAGGCUCUGGAAGGGAAUCCAUGGAUAGAGCCCCGCGAGAGGGACCCAGCGGAGACCCGGGGCGGGGCGGGCUGCGGCGCUAAUAACACAUCCCUGCCCAAUGGAAAGCGUUUCCUAUGGAGACCUCCAGGAGUUCCCCCUGCCCACAGCCCCUGCCCAGACAUUGGGCCCAUUCUUGCGUCCCGUUUUCCCAAGACGCGAUGGCAGCAGCGCUCGGCAGCCCCGAUCCCGCUCGGAACAAAGGCCGGGCAGCUGCCACCCAGCGCGGAGUUUGAGGAUGAGCGGCUGAACUUGGACAAAGUGGGAUUCCCGCGUGGGAAUUACGCGGUUCGUGUCCCCGGGACACAAAGGACUGUCAGGGAGGGAUCCCCUGGAAGCCCCGAGCCCUGGGAAUGGCGGCGGUCCCGGAUGAAGGGAUUCAUGAGGGAGAUGUGGUAGGAAGGAGUCCAGCCACCUGCCUGGAAUGUGUUCCUUCGGGAAGGGACGAGCUCCCUGCCUUAUUUUAUGGAUGUCACUGAAGUAGACUUUGAAGGCCUUUGG